rnacentral:lncRNA from 1 species
UCAUCACUGAAUCACACACCUAGUGACCCUCUAGGUCAGGAACAGUGCUCAGGUCUCCUCUCAUAAUGUCAGGGGUCUGACUGAACAGAAACCCCACAAAACUCAGAGGCUUUGCAGCCGCCACCUCUCGGUGUCAGUCUGACAGGGUUUCCUGCAAGGUCCUUCUAGGAGGAACAGGGUAGCUGAGGGCCCUGGGUAGGCCUGCAAGGCCAUCCUCUCCAGCUGUGGUCAUUUGUAUGGGGUUUCCCAAGAAUAGGAGCUUCUGCCAGCUAUAUUUGCAAAUUUCUUCUCUGCACUAGAUAUUCAAACAAAAACACAGCUAAAUCGCACCAAUUUGCUAACUCCAGCUUACACCCCACAGGGCAUAUGAUAAUGGGAAAGAGCCCUGAGCCAGCAGCCGAAACUAAGGCUCUAGGUGGACAAUUUGGGACUGGAGGAAGCUGACAGGUGUCCAGGAUCAUACAACCUGGAGAAAACCUCCCUGGACCCAAGAGUUUGGGUGGUGAAGGCUGCUGGAGAGCAGGAGUCAGUUCCCAUCUUCAGGACCUGCCCUAAGGAAGGACACCGGCCUGGUGCCCUCUACGUGCUCCUUACUGGCUCUGGAUUCCCUCACACUGAGGUCUUGGUGACUCCAUGGCCCCAGGUAAACUCUCGUUUCGGAAAAGUUGCUAGACAAGGUGAUGUUUAACUCAAAGGCAGAAAGCUCUGAGCGUGGACU